rnacentral:rRNA from 1 species
UACGUAGGGGGCAAGCGUUAUCCGGAUUUACUGGGUGUAAAGGGAGCGUAGACGGCAGCGCAAGUCUGGAGUGAAAUGCCGGGGCCCAACCCCGGAACUGCUUUGGAAACUGUGCAGCUCGAGUGCAGGAGAGGUAAGCGGAAUUCCUAGUGUAGCGGUGAAAUGCGUAGAUAUUAGGAGGAACACCAGUGGCGAAGGCGGCCUGCUGGACGACAACUGACGGUGAGGCGCGAAAGCGUGGGGAGCAAACAGG